rnacentral:lncRNA from 1 species
AAUAAUUUCUUUUCCUACUAUCUCAUAUUCUUAUUCCUUCUAACAGUUAACCCUCUUCCAAAUCAGGAUUACCAAUUUCUCACUACCCAUAAUGACCAAUAAUCCAACAAACGUUAUCCCGUAUUCAUACUCACUAUAAUCCAAUAACCCAACUAACGAUAACCCGUUUCCAUACUCAUUAUAAUCCUAUUACCCAACUAACGGUAAGCCGCAUUCAUACUCAUUAUAAUCCUAUAACCCAACUAUCGAUAAUCUCUGUCUCUUCUUACAUUCACCCUUAAACUACAGUCACGUAUCUCUUUCAGUAGUCAAAUAAUCCCAAUCCAUACUAACAUUAAUAAUAUCUCGAGAUCAAGAUCCCACGAAAUCUAAAUAAGACGCUAAAACGACAUCGGCACUAAAUUCCGGAAACAUCAAAUUCAAACAGUAUUCAAGACUCUAUAAAUCCAAUUGAUUUAGCCAUAUCAAUAAUAAGAAUUUUAC